rnacentral:lncRNA from 1 species
GGCUGUGAUGUGCCCAGAGUGUGUUUCUAGACCAGGACUGGCUGGGUAAGUGUCUCUGUGUCUAAACAGGUGUGAGAGAAAUGAGGCAGGUAGGACGGAGGGCUUGAUUCUGGCCAGAGAACUACCAUGACUCCUGGGGCUGCACCGGGAAAAUGUGUUUGCAGAUCACCCUGGCUGAUCUUGCAUCACUAAACCCCUGUGCCUUGCUGGCAUUUUUAGUGAGUUGGCCUGGUGGAAGUACAAGACUUCAUUGUUUGAGGACAUGAGUUUUGCAGGGUGUGACUUUGCCAUUUCUGGAUUUCAGGGCACAGUGCCUCUGUUUAGUCUCUUGGGGAUGACUGUGCUCCCCUCCUUGAGGCGUGCUUUGGGUCAGAGCAUACUGGGACUUGGCUAGCCUCUGGCAAAGGCAAAGGAGGGAGGCGAUGCCUCAUUGUUUUAUUACUUCUUUCUUGGACUUGGGCCGGAGUGGAGGAUGGGAGCGGGCCAGGCAGAAGCGGGCCAUGGGGAGAUUCCAGAGAGACUGAUUGAUCUUGUCAAAAAGAAUAAAGAGGAAAACAGUCACAACAAGCAAAAUAAGAAGAUGUCCUUAACCUCUGAAGCUAAUAACGCAUGCAGACCGCUUCUGUCCGAGGAUCCGUUUGGAGGCCCCUGCCUCUGCCUGCAGUGAUUGCCCACCGCCCAGCGGACUGGCCCUACUUCCUCACACUCCUGCCCUAAAAGACGUACCAUUCAGUUCAAAGGGGCGCGUUGCUUUCCAAAGUCAACAUUCAUCUCCUAUUUGGAGAGUUCUCAGCCAUCCUUUCUCAGCGUGUCGUAAGGAGGAGCAGCUUGCACUGGGAUUGAGGAGACCCUGUCUUCAGUUCUAGUUCUUCUUCUUCUAGCUGCGUGACCUUGAACAUAUCAUUGAACUAUUCUGGGCUUUAGUUUCUGCAUGUAACAAGGGGUUUGGCUAGGUGGUCUCUAAGAUUCCUUCUAGUUACAACAUUCCAUACUAAGUCUCUUCCCAUUUGAAAAUAAACUUUUUAUUUUAGACUUACA